rnacentral:rRNA from 1 species
CGGAUUGAAGUCUGNAACCCGACUUCAUGAAGCUGGAUUCGCUAGUAAUCGCGCAUCAGCCACGGCGCGGUGAAUACGUUCCCGGGCCUUGUACACACCGCCCGUCACACCAUGAGAGCCGGUAACACCCGAAGUCAGGAGCCUAACCGCAAGGAGGGCGCUGCCGAAGGUGGGAUUGGUAAUUGGGUGAAGUCGUAACAAGGUACC